AUAGCCUUAAUUGGAAUUUUCCAUUUUGGAUUUUUGGAAUUCUGUACAUAAUUCCUGGGAUUCUGGGCGUUGUAGCUGCCCAUCUCCAUAACAAAUGUCUUUACAUUGUAACCUUGGUUUUUGAAAUCCUGUUUUUGAUUGCGAUGUUUAUCAUCAUGUUG